GAGAAAAUGGACCUGUUUAGGAAUUGAUCUUUGGAGCAAGUGUUCUCUGUGUUGUCAGGAAAUCAGCAGUUCAGUUCACAGGUCAGUUCAUUAGUGUCCAGAUAGCAGCAGUGGUAGCACGACCUUGCAGAAACAGCUAGACCUCAGACAAAUUGGCAGGAGUCAGCAGGAGGGAUCAGGAUCAGCAGAGACACCAGGAGAAGUCCCUUAGCAUGCCUCUCUCAGGGAAGGGCAGAUCAGUGAAGACAGGAGACCAAGAAGCAUUACAAAGAGAGCUGUGCAAGCAAUCCAAGCCUCCUGUCACUGUCCAUUGGGUCCCAUUUAUACUCCCUCCAAACUUCACAUGUCCUCCAUAAGUCUUGCCUCACCAAGUGUCUUGCCUUAGCCUGUGAGUUUAUCUUAGCCAAACUUCACAUAGGUCUGUAUCAUUCACAGAUUGACGUCACUCUGCCAAUCAGCCCAGUCCACGGAAGCAGCAGGGAGCCGCCAGCACACCACCAGAACAUUUCUGGUGCAUUUCUCUCUAUGGAGCCUGAACAAACGGAGCUCCACAAAGCAAUGGCGUUUUCUUCCCACGGCUGGAAAAGCAUGUAAAGUUCUUCUGGAUGUAAGUGUGAUGAGAGCAGGGCAGCAUGAGACCCGAGACCCUGGAGAAGCACAGACAGCAAGGAAGCCCUGGGGCAGCUCAGUCAGCCUGGGUCCCCUUUACCCUCAGCUCCUUGGGCUCAGACUCCGUCCUCUCUGUUUCUUCCACCAGGGGGCGACAUUGGACAAGAAUGGGACGCUACUCCAUCUUCAACAGGUGCACAAGCAUUGCAUCCCUUGGGACUGAAGUCACAGAUGGUGGAAGCCACCGUGUGCUGAGGGAACUCAACCUGGAUCCUCUGCACCAGCAACAAGUGCUCCUGGCUGCUGAGCCAUCUCCCCAGCCACCAUUGGAAUGUUUGCCUCAGGAACCACACAGCUGCCUCACAGUUGCUGGCUGAUGCCAUAGAGAAACCAGAGGCCAAGGAAGAGACAGGGUCAGUGCAGAGCUCAGGAGGGAGGGGAGCUGGGCACGGAUGGGGUGAGACCUGAGGGUCAGAGACACGGAGGGGCUGAGCAGGAGGAGACGGAG
rnacentral:lncRNA from 1 species